UACGGGGGGUGCGAGCGUUGUCCGGAAUCACUGGGCGUAAAGCGCACGUAGGCGGAUUUUUAAGUCAGGGGUGAAAUCCCGAGGCUCAACCUCGGAACUGCCUUUGAUACUGGAGAUCUUGAGUCCGGAAGAGGUAAGUGGAACUGCGAGUGUAGAGGUGAAAUUCGUAGAUAUUCGCAAGAACACCAGUGGCGAAGGCGGCUUACUGGUCCGGAACUGACGCUGAGGUGCGAAAGCGUGGGGAGCAAACAGG
rnacentral:rRNA from 1 species